UCUCGAAAUUGGCAAACCCGCCGAAAGUCGGGGGCGCAAAGCCACGGAGCUAAGGAGGAAACUCUAUGCUGGCCGGGCCGCCGGG
rnacentral:ncRNA from 1 species